rnacentral:rRNA from 1 species
GGCAGCAGCUAUAUCACCCUGCAACUCACAACUGGCAGCCCACUGAAGCUAAGCAGAUGUGAGCCUGGUCAGUAGCUGGAUGGGAGACCUCCGGGGAAAAACUAAGGUUGCUGCUGUAG